rnacentral:rRNA from 1 species
UACGAAGGGGGCUAGCGUUGCUCGGAAUUACUGGGCGUAAAGCGCACGUAGGCGGCUUCUUAAGUCGGUGGUGAAAUCCUGGAGCUCAACUCCAGAACUGCCUUCGAUACUGGGAAGCUCGAGUCCGGGAGAGGUGAGUGGAACUGCGAGUGUAGAGGUGAAAUUCGUAGAUAUUCGCAAGAACACCAGUGGCGAAGGCGGCUCACUGGCCCGGUACUGACGCUGAGGUGCGAAAGCUAGGGGAGCAAACGGG